rnacentral:rRNA from 1 species
GACGAACCGUGCGAACGUUAUUCGGAAUCACUGGGCUUAAAGGGCGCGUAGGCGGGUCCGUCCGUCAGGGGUGAAAUCCCACGGCCCAACCGUGGAAGUGCCUUUGAUACUGCGGGCCUCGAGGGGGAUAGGGGCGUGCGGAACUCAGGGUGGAGCGGUGAAAUGCGUAGAUAUCCUGAGGAACACCGGUGGCGAAAGCGGCGCGCUGGAUCCCUUCUGACGCUGAGGCGCGAAAGCUAGGGGAGCAAACGGG